rnacentral:rRNA from 1 species
GACGAACGCUGGCGGCGUGCUUAACACAUGCAAGUCGAACGGAAAGGCCCUGCUUUUGUGGGGUGCUCGAGUGGCGAACGGGUGAGUAACACGUGAGUAACCUGCCCUUUACUAUGGGAUAACUUCAGGAAACUGGGGCUAAUACCGGAUAGGAGCUCCUGCUGCAUGGUGGGGGUUGGAAAGUUUCGGUGGUUUGGGAUGGACUCGCGGCUUAUCAGCUUGUUGGUGGGGUAGUGGCUUACCAAGGCUUUGACGGGUAGCCGGACUGAGAGGGUGAGCGGCCACAUUGGGACUGAGGGACGGCCCAGGCUCCUACGGGAGGCAGCAGUGGGGAAGAUUGCACAAGGGGCGGAGGCCUGAUGCAGCAACGCCGCGUGCGGGAUGACGGCCUUCGGGUUGUAAACCGCUUUCGCCUGUGACGAAGCGUGAGUGACGGUAAUGGGUAAAGAAGCACCGGCUAACUACGUG